rnacentral:misc_RNA from 1 species
GAUGAAGAACGUAGCGAAAUGCGAUACGUAAUGUGAAUUGCAGAAUUCAGUGAAUCAUCGAAUCUUUGAACGCAUAUUGCGCUCUCUGGUAUUCCGGAGAGCACGCUUGUUUGAGUAUCAGUAAACACCUCAACUCCCCUUUCUUUUUUUGAAAUGGGAGCUGGACUUGAGUGAUCCCAACGCUUUUCUCACCGAAAAGUGGCGGGUUACUUGAAAUGCAGGUGCAGCUGGACUUUUCUCUGAGCUAAAAGCAUAUCUAUUUAGUCUGCCUAAAAAACAGAUUAUUACCUUUGCUGCAGCUAACAUAAAGGAGAUUAGUUCUUGUGCUGACUGAUGCAGGAUUCACAGAGACAGCUUCGGCUGGCCUUUGUAAACUCGAUCUCAAAUCAAGUAAGACUACCCGCUGAACUUAAGCAUAUCAAUAAGCGGAGGA